UACGGGGGGGGCAAGCGUUGUUCGGAAUUACUGGGCGUAAAGGGCUCGUAGGUGGCCAACUAAGUCGGACGUGAAAUCCCUCGGCUCAACCGAGGAACUGCGUCCGAUACUGGUGGGCUUGAAUCCGGGAGAGGGAUGUGGAAUUCCAGGUGUAGCGGUGAAAUGCGUAGAUAUCUGGAGGAACACCGGUGGCGAAGGCGGCAUCCUGGACCGGUAUUGACGCUGAGGCGCGAAAGCUAGGGGAGCAAACGGG
rnacentral:rRNA from 1 species